AGAGGGAGGCGCAGAAAGCCGCCAGAAAGCCGCCGCGCUCCGCCACAGGCCUGCGGCCACGUCCCUCCGCGGCCGCCCCGGCAGCCGCUCCCGCCGCCUCGGCCCCUUCUCCCUGCCCACCCGGCGCCGCCUGCCAAGUGCGAGUUGGCACCGCUCCCCCGGCCGCGCCGAACAAAGCCGUCGCCCAUCCCCGAGCCGACGCUGACAGUAAGCAAAGUGACAGGCGCAUCUUCCGCAUGUUAAUCCCGACGGCGAGGAGGGAACGAGCGGCAGCCCCCCCCUGCCCUGCCACGCACGGCCCCGCCACCGGCCCGCACGCCCCACCCUUGGCACCCGCCGGCCUCGUGCGGGGACGGCCGGGCCCCUGCCCGCGGCGGCGCCGGAGCCUUCCCCGGCCGCCGGCUUUGAACCGAGCCCGAGCAAACGAGGCCACUCGGCAUCUGCUGUACCUGUUCCCGCUGCCUUCAUCUCGCCUUGGAACCGUGACAAGAGCGCACUCGCCUCUGGUGGGCUCUCAAAGCCGCGGGGCUGUAACCCUUUGCAGGAAGUUGGCACAGAUCCCAGCAGCUCCUUCUGCCCAGCAGCCCAAACCCAAUGCGAGGGGAAAAGGGGAGAAGACAAAUCCAAUGGGAAGAGAAUAGCUCCAAGUCAGGACAAUGCCCGGGGAAGGGGAGAUUAGCGCAGCUCUGGAGACACUCCGCGCCCGCCCCGCUUGGCCCCGGCCUCGGCUCGGCUCAUUCUCCCGGCUCCUGAAUUAUUCCAGCCCACGGGCGGGAGGGGAACGUGCGGUCCCGGCUCCCUCCGAGCUGCCAAGAGCAUCGCAACGGGGAAGAAAGAAAAGCGAGAGAGAGGGAGAGCCAGGCUGAGCCCUCACAAUCGAGCAGCGAGAAGAGCAAGGAGAAAUUAACAUCCAAUUAGUGCUGUGUUUAACGAGGGAGACAGAGGCGGCUGUUGUUUUAUUGCCCUGUUCUUUCCAGGCGCAUCUGACAGGCAGCGGGGAGGGCACCCUGCUCCCAGUGACGUCAGUACAGGGGAGUUUUUAAUCAUCUCCCCCCCUCUCCCUUCUUUCCCCCCGUCUUUCCGUCUCCAAGUCUCACACGGACGGGCUCGGCCGGGGAGCCUCGGGACCUUCUCGCCUUCCAGCUGCCCGACUCCCCCUCCACCUUCCCCCCAUCCACCGACACCAACCCCGGAACAACAACCGCGCCAGCACCCCCCAGGCUUUGUCCUUCCAACAGCAGCAGCAAACCAACAAACAGAGAGAAAACAACCCCAAAUGAAGGUUGGGAUGAGCCGGAGGGAGCCCGGAGGAGGAUCCUGCGUGUGCGUGCGGCGUGCUGCGGCCGGCUCUCUCCUCUCCUCUCCCGUCUCUCCUCUCCCGGCCUCUCCCCACACGGCUCGCUCGCCUUGGCAAACUUCGCAGCAUGUGACGCGGCUCCGGCCUCCCCUGGCAGCCUGACAAGAGCUGCGGCCGCACGCAGGCGGCUCCGAGGGGACAGACUCUGCUCCCAGAGGCUGGGGAGGUAACACGCUCUGGGAAGGGCCUGGGGCCGCCUCGGCCCACGGCCGCCUCGGGCCCUCAGCAACGCCGGCCCGGCCAUCGCGGCGCGGGCAGAGCAACCACGGCACGAGCCGGAGGCUUCUCCCCCUGCCCGGCCCGCUGGGCCUCCUGCUGCACCCCGGCACGGAGGGGCCCGUGCGGGGCCCACGGGGAAGGGCUGGCCCCGGUCAGCCUGGGCCGCCAUCUCUUUCCCCCGAGGCCCAGGAUCUCCUCAGAGCGUUGCUGGCUGGCCCUGAGAGCUCUGCCAUCCUGGGAGGGGUGGAGGCAGUUCAGCAAGGGGGGAUUUGAGGGAGGGCUCCCCCAGGGAAGCCCCCACAGCAGCUCUUUGCUUUCACAAGCCCCAGCAGCUCGGGCUGCCAUGCUGAGCUUUCCCCCCGCACCCUCUGGGGCCUUUUCUCCUUGUUCCCAGCCAGGUGAAUCCAGCAGGACCCAGCCCCCCGUAACCUCUCUCUUUGGGCAUCACAAGGGAUGGGGCCACUCUGCAACCAGCGAGGACAGGGCUGGGCGAAGGCAGGGGAUGGGUCCAGGGCCACCCGGGUCCUGCGUCCAGCCCCUUGCCCUGGGCAUUCCCUGGCCCCAGCCAGUGCCACCUCCGUGGCCCCAGAACGCCCUCCAUGAGGGUUAUUAUUUAAUAGCUGUAUUUUUUAGUUAACUCUGUGCCUCCCUGGAGCUGCAGAAGGGCACAAACAGCCAGACCAGCGGCACUUCCUCGUGUGUGGCUGCGCGGCGGGGCCUGGCAGCGCCCGGCCUUCCUGCUGCCCAGGCACCGGGGUGACGGGCACCGCGCGCCGCUGGGAAGGGGCCGCAGGGCAGCUUCGCCGCCAGCCCCACUGCGAGGGGAGCAGCACAGCUGGGGGUUGGUUCACACUGAAAGGCCUUCAGCAGGACAGCUCUGUGUGUGGGGAGAGGCAAGGAGGAUGCAACCAGUCCAAGCUCAGCCGCACUUUCCCUGGGGACAAGGGCUUCAGCAGCACCCUCAUGUUCCCAAGCCCCCAGCACUCAGGCUCUGCAGAGUCAGGGCAGCAUUGACCUGAGUUUCCCUCUCCCAGCUGCCGCUGCCUCCCUUCUCCCUCCAGCAGCUGAGAGCAGAUGAGGCCAAAGUCCUGACAAUCUCUAUUUUCCACUGAAGGCUGAUAAAGCUCCCAGGCACAGAGCAGCAGCAAUCCCCACCCAUCCCUGUUCUGUGUAGGAGAGUCAAUAUUUAAACUCAACCUUUUUUUCCUGGGCAGACAAGGGAAGUGCUGGGGCUGCAGGUGAGAGCAAUCCCCAGCUCCAGCCCAGAAGCCAGACCCACACCUCUCUGUUUGCUGUGCGGGCUCCUGCGGGAGUGUGGUUUAUUGCUGUUAGCUGUGCCAUGUGAGCAUCAGCUGUGGGGCUGGGCACCUGCUAAUGAGGCAGCAAUAAGAGGGAGGGGGGAAGGCAGCCAGGCUUUGGGUUGCCUCUGCAUGCUGUGGGUGCAGAUGCUGUCUCCAGGGUGGGCAACCUCAAAAAGGAGCAUGAGACAAGAAGCAGCAGGGCUGGAAGGGGGAGGAGGCAAGGAAAUAUUUAGUCAUCCUCUGAAGAGCAGCCCCUGCUUCAGGGUAAGGCCGUGCUCUGGGAGCUUUGAAGGCUGGUUCAUCUCAAUGACCAAAAGCUCUGAGUGUUGUGUUUCCUGUGGGUUGCAGGGAGCUGGGCAGCAGUUGCUGGCAGGGUGCUUGAGCUGCUGUAGAUAGUGAAAUACCUGGGGUAAACUGCUCAAAGCAAAAGGAAACAGCCCCUCUCCUUGCAGUGGCUGCAGCCAGGCUGUGCACACGGGCUGUAGGAGCUUUCCCAGGCGUGUGACCAGCUGAGGGUGGCUGUGACUCUGAAGGUGUGUUCCUCAGCAGGGACUGUGUGCGUGGGACAGGCCCUGCCUGGUGCUGGAGCAGGUGAGAAACCAGCCCAUGCAGUAACAGGCUGCUGGGUAAAGAUCCUGUGGGCUGGGCAGGGAGCAGCUGAGCCCCCCCCCCCCCCCGACAGCUCUGACAAGCAAAGGGCCUCCCUCACCCCUUCCACAAGAGCUCAGGGUCGAUUUUCACUCCCCAUCCCUCCUUUUGUGUGCUUUGGUUCAGGCAGCCAAGCCCACUGCUGCCUCCAGCUGCUGCCACUGCUGUCUGCUCGGCCUAAACCCGCUGAACCUUCCACGGUGAGGAGGGCUGGGGGGGAAUCCGAAUCUGCACCAGCUGCUCUGGCCGCUGCUGUUGGGAAGGGACCAGACGAGGUGCCUGUGUUCCCUGGAACCUCCCCUACACGGGGGAGGCAGAAAGAAAUAACACUUUGUUUCAAGAAGCCACA